rnacentral:rRNA from 1 species
CGUUAAAUGGAUAACUGUAAUAACUCUAGAGCUAAUACAUGCCUCGAUGCUCUGACCCCGGUUGUUGCCUUGCGGCAGCGAGUGGGGGAUGGGUGCACUUAUUAGAUCAGAAGCCAACCAGUCCGCUGACUGCACGCGUGUGUGUGUGUGCGCUUGCAUGCAGGCAGGCAUGCAUGCGUGUGGACGUGUGUGUGGGCUGUGAGAGGAGACUUCUGGUGACUCUGGAUAAUUGUUACAGAUCGCAGUCGGCCUUGGGUCGGCGACGGGUCCUUCAAAUGUCUGCCCUAUCAACUGUCGAUGGUAGGUGAUCUGCCUACCAUGGUGAUA